AAGAGAUAUUUGUUUACUGGGACCGAGUUUACUCGAUUUGGGUAUACGAACGUGAUGUUUGCACCGUAAAUAUUGACACAUGAGCCGCAUUAUUUCUUACACGAUAAAGUGAUUGUCAUCGGUUGAAAAACGACUUUAAAAAUUGUCUUGUUGACGGUAGUAAUAUUAUUUUAUACAGAUAUGUAACAAUUUAAAAAAAAAUUUUUACGGUCAAUUGAUAAAAAAAGACGGUAUAAUAAUGUAUAUAACCGUACAUAUAAUUUAAUAUGUAUUUUGUCAGUUAGAUAAUUUCUGUAAAUAAAAUUAUUAUU